rnacentral:rRNA from 1 species
GAUGAACGCUGGCGGCGUGCCUAAUACAUGCAAGUCGAGCGAACGGACGAGAAGCUUGCUUCUCUGAUGUUAGCGGCGGACGGGUGAGUAACACGUGGAUAACCUACCUAUAAGACUGGGAUAACUUCGGGAAACCGGAGCUAAUACCGGAUAAUAUUUUGAACCGCAUGGUUCAAAAGUGAAAGACGGUCUUGCUGUCACUUAUAGAUGGAUCCGCGCUGCAUUAGCUAGUUGGUAAGGUAACGGCUUACCAAGGCAACGAUGCAUAGCCGACCUGAGAGGGUGAUCGGCCACACUGGAACUGAGACACGGUCCAGACUCCUACGGGAGGCAGCAGUAGGGAAUCUUCCGCAAUGGGCGAAAGCCUGACGGAGCAACGCCGCGUGAGUGAUGAAGGUCUUCGGAUCGUAAAACUCUGUUAUUAGGGAAGAACAUAUGUGUAAGUAACUGUGCACAUCUUGACGGUACCUAAUCAGAAAGCCACGGCUAACUACGUGCCAGCAGCCGCGGUAAUACGUAGGUGGCAAGCGUUAUCCGGAAUUAUUGGGCGUAAAGCGCGCGUAGGCGGUUUUUUAAGUCUGAUGUGAAAGCCCACGGCUCAACCGUGGAGGGUCAUUGGAAACUGGAAAACUUGAGUGCAGAAGAGGAAAGUGGAAUUCCAUGUGUAGCGGUGAAAUGCGCAGAGAUAUGGAGGAACACCAGUGGCGAAGGCGACUUUCUGGUCUGUAACUGACGCUGAUGUGCGAAAGCGUGGGGAUCAAACAGGAUUAGAUGCCCUGGUAGUCCACGCCGUAAACGAUGAGUGCUAAGUGUUAGGGGGUUUCCGCCCCUUAGUGCUGCAGCUAACGCAUUAAGCACUCCGCCUGGGGAGUACGACCGCAAGGUUGAAACUCAAAGGAAUUGACGGGGACCCGCACAAGCGGUGGAGCAUGUGGUUUAAUUCGAAGCAACGCGAAGAACCUUACCAAAUCUUGACAUCCUUUGACAACUCUAGAGAUAGAGCUUUCCCCUUCGGGGGACAAAGUGACAGGUGGUGCAUGGUUGUCGUCAGCUCGUGUCGUGAGAUGUUGGGUUAAGUCCCGCAACGAGCGCAACCCUUAAGCUUAGUUGCCAUCAUUAAGUUGGGCACUCUAAGUUGACUGCCGGUGACAAACCGGAGGAAGGUGGGGAUGACGUCAAAUCAUCAUGCCCCUUAUGAUUUGGGCUACACACGUGCUACAAUGGACAAUACAAAGGGCAGCGAAACCGCGAGGUCAAGCAAAUCCCAUAAAGUUGUUCUCAGUUCGGAUUGUAGUCUGCAACUCGACUACAUGAAGCUGGAAUCGCUAGUAAUCGUAGAUCAGCAUGCUACGGUGAAUACGUUCCCGGGUCU